rnacentral:lncRNA from 1 species
UCAGAAACUGCUACUCAAGUGUACCCUCCUGGUUCUAGGGUUCCAUUGUGGUGACAACAAAUUACAAGCAGCUUACUUCCUCAGAGCCCAUCACUACCAACACCAACUGACAGCUUCGAGAAGGACCUCAGUACCACUUUCCCUAACCAAAAUUUUCCUCUUUACUCCAAGCCCUGACAAGGAUAAAUCUCUAAACUUUAGAAACAAUGUAAUUUUACAAAUUAACUUAUACGCAGGGUUACUUCCUUUCCAAUUUGAUCAGGGAAUGCAGGGCAAGAAUAACCCAAAAUAUGCAAUGUAAAUCAUGUUGAAAUUAAAAUGUAUUUCCAUCUCCACCCCUCCACGAUGGCAUAAUUUCAAAUCAACUUAUAUAAUGCAUAUCUAGUCCUCUGAAAAAUCAUUUUUAAAAGUAGGGCUGUUAUUAUUCUGUCCUAGCUAUCGCAGAUCAAUUUAGAUUUGUUCUGUAAGAUUUCAGAUUUUCCCCAAAUGACACAGGUGGUUAUUUUAUAUGUAUCAGUCAUUAAAAGAUUAAUCCUUUUUAACUAAAAAGAGACAGUACGGUCAUUUACAAGUUAAAGUAGAUUUAUUCUGAGCUGGUGCUCUGGGGUCUUACUUCUCUAAAAUUUUGUGAUUUACAAUACACCACAUGUAGGAAACAGCUUCCAAAAUUUGUAUUGCUUCCUACAAAUCAGACAGGACUUUCAGGAGAAGGAGCCUAGGAUAGAUUCUCUGUUAAAUUUUGGAAUCCCUUCUCUCAAGAGUAACCUACUAUAAACUAUUUACCAAGCCUUUGUGAAAUCUGUAUAACAGGUUACUACUCCAUUGAGCAAGAAAACACAGGAAACAGGAUUCGAAGAUUUAAUGUUACUGCUCAUACUCCAAAUUAUAGAAUGCUUAAGAUAAUUAAAUUAUCUGACUUUUAUAAUUCACUACACGGUGACCUCAAAUUUACCUCAUUAGAAUAUUUAGUACUUCUGCACUUCUCCCACUUCUCAAAGUUUUCCCAUACCAGGAUUCCCCACCACCUAGGAACAGCCUUUGCAAGAUACCAAUGCUCUCUAAAUCCCCAAAGCAGGGUCUAUUUCCUGAUCGAACAAAGAGCAACAAAGAAGUGGGUGGUAACCACCUCUCUGAGGCAAGCCAGGACCCAUGGAGUCUGAUCUACAACACAAGCAGUAGCAGUUCCACAUCUCCCUACCACCUCUUAUUUCCUACGAAGUCUUUCUGCCUGAAACUGGAAAACCCGAACUAUUAUUGAGGAAGUGAAGCCCUUCCAUUUGAAUCCUGAGAAAGACGCGCUCAAAGAACCCAGCGAACAAAGGAGAGGGUUGGAGCCCACGCAAAACAUGGGUGUGAUAAAGCCACACGCGACCUGAGCCCCCACCCUCAGUAACUACUCUCCAGCGCCCACCGGGAGGAGGGGUCCGGGGAAAGGAUUGGCAUCCUCUGCUUCUGCAGAAAACAUGGCUACCAACAGCUUCUGUAUCCACCUGCGGAGGAGACUGACUGCUCUGUUAUUCCCCCAGCAUCUGUGAAGAGGCUCUGACUGGCUAAAGUGUUGGUAUAGUGAUCACCCCAGGGUUAGGCAACCAUGGCUGGUGAAAAGGAAAAACGUUAUGAACCUGGCUGUGCGGAGCUACCUGAGGAAGCUUGUAGGAGAAGGGAAGGAGUCUGUAGCUUUAGGGGAAGACAGAGCCACAAGAUGGAAGGAGCUUGGAUGUCUGAACUAUUCCAUGGAGAAAAGCUGCAGCCAACGAAGAACACCUGCAAUGGACUCUUAACCUGGGGGUGACGACAACCACUGAAAUAUGCUGCAUCUUAGUCCAGGGAUUUUUAAAGUGUGGUUCCUGGAAGAGCUGGAUCAGAGUCAUCUGUGUUGAUGGUUUAACAUAAAGAUUUUCGAGCCCCAAGACUCAAGUAGGACAAGGAAUUUGAAUUUUUAAGCAGCUCACCUGACUUGUCUGUCCUCUAAUGUCUGAAGACAUCUGACCUCUGCUCUUUCAGUAAAAGCAACAAUGGUUUUAUGAGCAUUGUCGUCACAUCUCUCCACUCAAGGGAUCCUUCUCAUUUCUCCCAGCUGAGGUCACCCACAGCUGCUGCUUCUAACUGCUGGCUUCCAGCCUGCUGUCUGCCAGCUGGCUCUACCCUCUCCUAUAACACGGCAGAGAGUAGCUGUGGUCUCCUGCGUGCUCACCCUCUGCUCCCUUGGUCCUGCUCCAUGCUUUGGUCCUGCACUUAAAUUUUACAAGCAUACUCUCUUUCUCUUAAGGUGAGUCUUCUUGAGGCUUUACCAAGGAAACAGGCAGUUUUAGAGUUGGCCUUAAGGAUGUUCUCUGGUGUCAUCAAAGAAAUGGAAAUGCAAAGCAGAGACAUGUGCAUUUAGAUAUGUGUAAGACUGUAGACUAUUUUUAGUGGAAAAUGGCUGCUGAGUGUGUGGAAAGAGUAUAAAAGAUUUCAGUGGGAAGAUUCUACAAUCAUUUGAGAUUCUCCAUUGCUGGAAAAUUCUCAAAUUAGGCUUAUGAAGGCAAUUUGAUUUAGCAAACAGCUCUCUGGACCAAGCAAAUCUUCUCAGCAGGGAUGGAAUUUGAACUGCACUUGUCCCUGGUUCUCACCUUCCCUGAGAAGCAGUGCAUCUGCAGUGUCCCAGGUGAUGCCCCCCACAGGCCUUGAAGCUUGUCUUCCAGAAGAGCCUUCAUUUCAGGGGCAGCAUUCCAGGAAGCACGCCCAUGAAACACUCAUGAGGAGGAACUGGGCUGCCAAUUAUGACUUGUCACUGCUCCAUCAACAUAAAAGCUAGAACUGUUCCACAAAGCUGUAUGGUUCCACUGUGCCUCUUGAAAACAUGCAAGGUGUUUAUGACAUAAAAGAAGUAACUUAUUAAAGAGAGCCCUCGUGGAGCUAUUGUAAUGAGGGCCAGAAGGACUCCACCAAAUUUCAACACUAAGAUAACCACCUGUUACCAGUCAUCAACAAAUAGUUACUGAGGACCUGCCAUGCAUCAGGAACUGCAGAUGCAGGAAAUAAUAUGGACAACAGACACAGAUUCUGCCUCAUUACUUUUGUAGUUUUCUAGUGUUCAACUCUUGAUAUACAUAUAAGAUCCGCAUCAUCUGUUAAACAUAGAGCUUAGAUCCUCUCAUGAGAGUUCAGGCGCAUUCAGGGUGAUGUGGCUGUAGCCUCUGAUUCUCUUAGAUUGGCAGUGAAGGAAGAAUCGCUACAAAGGCAGGAUCCGCUGCACUUCAGAAUCUCACCUCCUGGCCCUAAAAUCCACCUUGAAGAGUCCUUGCCUCCUGCCCAAGUAGCCACAAACUACUCUCCAAAAAGCACAACUCUUCCUUCAACAAGACUCUUUUCUUCAAAAACCACAUGCAAAGUGAAGUCUUCACUGGAUGAAGGAGCUGAGGCUGGAGAAGUUAAGAGACCCCUGCUAGAUAGGAAGGCACGUGAGAAGUAUACUGCUCUGUCUCCUGUGGAGUAAAAAGACUUUGGCGUUCUCAGAAGAAAACCAAAUGAGAUCACACGAAUGAGACUGCUGAUUUUACAACCCUGUGAACUUCUCAGGAUGUACUACGGAGGAGAAUUCACUGUUGCUCCAUGUAUUUCUUUUUUCAAGAAUUAUAUAAGGAUACCAGCUCUUUCACUGAUCUUUACCAUGAUCAUUAUCACAUCCACUUUCUAAGGCUGAGGUCAAAGCUGGCAGUGCCCUUAACAUCUCCCUUCCACCAAGAGGUAUCUUGCCAUAAAGAUCUUCCUCCCGUGGUUUCAAGUUGCCUCUGGAAUGCUUCUGAACUCCCUAGCUUUGAUUUUUCCCAUUGCAGUCCCUGCCUUUCUGUCCAGCUCUUGCUGUGACUGACAACCACCAUGGACCUGAUACCUUAGACCCCUGUUCUUCCUGAUGUUGCACUAAAUGACUGGGCUGACAACCCCAUACAAUCCCAGCUCCUGAGUCCCAACCCAGGUCAGACCUGCCCUGGACCUCAGAGGGAAUAUGGAACCCUGGAAUGCAGGGUGUGCCAAGGAUGCAUUUUGGCCAGACUGAAACUCCCAAGGCAGCUUAUCAAUUUCUUUCAUUUCUCUCAGUCUAUAGCUUCUUAUUCUACAGGGGCUUCAACUAACCACACCCAUUCCCUGGCGCCCAACCACAUAUGUGACUAAAAUAAUACGUGAGGUUUUUGUGUUUUGUUUUUAUUUUUGCCUAUAUCAAACAGACAUUUAGGUGAAUACAUUUUGGAAAUAU